rnacentral:rRNA from 1 species
UACGUAGGGGGGCAAGCGUUUGUCCGGAAUCAUUGGGCGUAAAGAGCGUGUAGGCGGCUCGAUAAGUCCGCUGUGAAAGUCCAGGGCUCAACCCUGGAAGGCCGGUGGAAACUGUCGGGCUAGAGUCCGGAAGAGGCGAGUGGAAUUCCCGGUGUAGCGGUGAAAUGCGCAGAUAUCGGGAGGAACACCAAUGGCGAAGGCAGCUCGCUGGGACGGUACUGACGCUGAGGCGCGAAAGCGUGGGGAGCAAACAGG